rnacentral:rRNA from 1 species
AUUGAACGCUGGCGGUAUGCCUUACACAUGCAAGUCGAACGGCAGCACAGUCAGAGCUUGCUCUUUCGCGUGGCGGUUGGUAGUCUGUUGAGACAUACAUCGUCGUCUACUUUUUCGUGGGGGAUAACGUAGUAAUACUUCCGCUAAUACCGCACUCGACCUACGGGUUAAAACAGCGUCUCUUCGCACCUUCCGCCAUUUACUGAUCCGAUGUCGGAUUAGCUAGUUGGCUGGGUAAAGGCCCACCAAGGCGACGAUCCGUAGCUGGUCUGAGAGGACGACCAGCCACACUGGAACUGAGACACGGUCCAGACUCCUACGGGAGGCAGCAGUGGGGAAUAUUGGACGAUGGGCGAAAGCCUGAUCCAGCCAUACCGCGUGGGUGAAGAAGGCCUUCGGGUUGUAAAGUGCUUUUGUAGAGAAAGAAAAGGAGUAGGUUAAUACUAGGAGGUUAUGACGGUACUGAAAGAAUAAGCACCGGCUAACUUCGUG